rnacentral:misc_RNA from 1 species
AAAGUCGUAACAAGGUUUCCGUAGGUGAACCUGCGGAAGGAUCAUUAUUGAAAUAAAUCUGAUGAGUUGCAGCUGGUUUCUUUUGGGACAUUGUGCUCACUUAUCAUCUUUAUAUCUCAACCUGUGCACCUUUUGUAGACCUGGAUAACUCUCUGAGGUAACUCAGUUUUGAGGAUUGCUUUGCAGCUUUCUUUACAUUUCCUGGCCUAUGUUUUUCAAAUACUCCAUGAAUGUAACAGAAUGUAAAUUAGGUCUUUAGUGCCUAUAAAAACUAUACAACUUUCAGCAACGGAUCUCUUGGCUCUU